CGGCUUGAAUUUCACUUUGUCAAAACCGCGAGUUAUAAUAGGAACUACAGGCAAACUGUUCAUGACAUGUUAUAUUACCGAAACAGAUACUUCACCAGUGUAUAAUGUCCAGAUUCGGCGAGAAGCAAGUACCGGUUGGGAGACGCUGGCAUAUAUUGAUGCGGGUGCUGAAACGCCAGCUUUAAGUAGCGGCAUUGUUAAAGACAAGGAUUUUGGUGUCGGUGGUAUUCUGGAUAAAGAUAACCCACUUAACACACAUUUAUCUUUAGAAAUGAAUAUAGAGAAGAUGACUUAUGAUGAUGCUAGAGUAUACAGAUGUGAGAUGACGUAUAAAAGCAAAAUUAAUGAAAGCACUGUCUCAACUAAUAGAAAUACAAUGCUUUUAAUUAUUGAAGCCGAUAAUAAAACGGAAGAAUGAGCAGUAACGCUGCACCAAUAAAUGACACAAGCGAAAUUCAAAACAGUUCAGACGAGGUAUAGAUAACUCUCGUAAAGAAGAAGAAGAUACUUGGGACUUAUAUUCAAAUAAAUAUGGAUCAAAAAUGAUUGACACAAAUCCGUAUUCUGACAGUUUCAAAGAAUUGAAUAAAAGAUAGCGCUUAAAGUGUUAACAAUUUGCUUUGUUAAUACAUUAGUUUUGAGCAUUUUAAAAUGCCUUAAAAGCUGCAUCUGUUUCAAAAUAAUGUUUGCAUAAUUUCUUUUGAAAUAUUUUAAAUGCUAACAUGCGGGUUAGUUUAAACCUGAAAAUUGGCAUAAAACUGAAACAGAAUGAUAGAAGUACCUGUAUUUUUACAAGAAGAAGACACGUUUCUUCUAUGUGUUAACGUCUGUAGAAGUUGAAGGGAUUGUUGUCGAUCGAGACCGGAUGUCGGUAUUCUUGCAUAAAACAAUUCAUAAAGACUAAAUGCGUAUCGUAUUUAAAAAUGAUGACUUCAUGGUUCCAAGACAAUUUUCAUUUACGUUUCUGGUUGCUCUUAAAAACGGUCAACAGUUUUAAAUACCCAUAAGUGCGACGCACAAAUCAGCGACAAUACUAAAAGCAUGUA
rnacentral:lncRNA from 1 species